rnacentral:lncRNA from 1 species
GUACGAUGAUCACAGAUUAAAAAGAGAAAAACAUUUGUGGAGAGUAUUGACCUUUGAUUCCACAGUUGCAGACAAGGCCGUCGACUUCUUUUACUAGCAUUAAUGCUUUUAAUUCCUAGUCGAUUCGAAGCUCGUUAUAGGUGGAAGGACCACUUUCGCCAAGGAAUACAACAAAAAAAAAUGCAACUCUUUUUUUAUAUAUAUAUAUAAAAUAUUCUUAUAUGACUUAUUUGAAGAAACUAUUUAUCUGAUAGGUGCUUUGCCUAAUCCAUAUACCUGAAAAAACGAUUCACCGUUAAAAUAAGGCAUCUCCUUGCUUCUUUGGUUGAAUUGAAGUUUGUCCUGUAAAUCUUUUUUAUGUUUUCUUUUGCUCGUAAUCCGGUAACAAGGAUAGCAAAUAUUGUAGAAGUCUUGAUCUCCGGCCAUGUACCUAUAGUUCAAACUGAAAUAGUAGCAUCUAUUCAUUAAAACCAUACGUAUAAAAGAACUUCGAUAAUAGAGGAGACAAAGCAAGGACAGUUACAGAAUAUUUUGGGCCGAUUAUCGUUAACAAUCGAGGGCCUACAUAAAACAAAUGAGACAAAGCCAGGACAGUACUCACUAAAUAAACCUGGGCUAGAUUUCAGAGGCGGGUCAAAUAGGGAGUCCCAGACAAGCGAUUUCUGCGAAGCAAGCAGCGUCAACACUCCGCCUAUUUUUGCG